rnacentral:miRNA from 1 species
UGCACUAUUCUCUGAGGCUGU